UGAAUUGACGGGACCCGCACAAGCGUGGAUGAUGUGGUUAAUUCGAUGCAACGCGAAAACCUUACCACCUUUGACAUGGCAGGAAUCCCGAAGAGAUUGGGAGUGCUCGAAAGAGAACCUGCACACAGGUGCUGCAUGGCUGUCGUCAGCUCGUGUCGUGAGAUGUUGGGUUAAGUCCCGCAACGAGCGCAACCCUUGCCAUUAGUUGCUACGAAAGGGCACUCUAAUGGGACUGCCGGUGACAAACCCGGGAAGGAAGGUGGGGAUGACGUCAAGUCCUCAUGGCCCUUAUAGGUGGGGCUACACACGUCAUACAAUGGCCGGUACAGAGGGUAGCCAACCCGCGAGGGGGAGCCAAUCCCACAAAGCCGGUCGUAGUCCGGAUCGCAGUCUGCAACUCGACUGCGUGAAGUCGGAAUCGCUAGUAAUCGCGGAUCAGCAUGUCGCGGUGAAUACGUUCCCGGGUCUU
rnacentral:rRNA from 1 species